rnacentral:rRNA from 1 species
CCUACGGGAGGCAGCAGUAGGGAAUAUUGGGCAAUGGAGGAAACUCUGACCCAGCCAUGCCGCGUGCAGGAUGACGGCCCUCUGGGUUGUAAACUGCUUUUAUACGGGAAGAAAAAAUGCUACGUGUAGCACAUUGACGGUACCGUAAGAAUAAGGAUCGGCUAACUCCGUGCCAGCAGCCGCGGUAAUACGGAGGAUCCAAGCGUUGUCCGGAUUUAUUGGGUUUAAAGGGUGCGUAGGCGGAUCUUUAAGUCAGUGGUGAAAGCCUGCAGCUCAACUGUAGAACAGCCAUUGAAACUGAAGAUCUUGAAUAUGGUUAAAGUAGGCGGAAUGUAUCAUGUAGCGGUGAAAUGCUUAGAUAUGAUACAGAACACCGAUAGCGAAGGCAGCUUGCUGAACCAUUAUUGACGCUGAGGCACGAAAGCGUGGGGAGCAAACAGGAUUAGAUACCCUGGUAGUCCACGCCCUAAACGUUGAUUACUCGUUGUUGGCGAUAUACUGUCAGCGACUAAGCUAAAGCGUUAAGUAAUCCACCUGGGAAGUACGACCGCAAGGUUGAAACUCAAAGGAAUUGACGG